CCUACGGGUGGCAGCAGUGAGGAAUAUUGGUCAAUGGACGAGAGUCUGAACCAGCCAAGCCGCGUGCAGGAAGACGGCCCUAUGGGUUGUAAACUUCUUUUGUAAGGGAGUAAAACGAGGCACGUGUGCCUGUUUGAAAGUACUUUAUGAAUAAGGAUCGGCUAACUCCGUGCCAGCAGCCGCGGUAAUACGGAGGAUACAAGCGUUAUCCGGAUUUAUUGGGUUUAAAGGGGGCGUAGGUGGUGGGAUAAGUUAGAGGUGAAAGUCUGAGGCUCAACCGGAGAAUUGCAAUUGAUACUGGCAGUCUUGAGUGUAGUUGAGGUAGGCGGAAUGCGUGGUGUAGCGGUGAAAUGCUUAGAUAUCACGAAGAACACCGAUUGCGAAGGCAGCUUACUAAGCUAUUACUGACGUUGAGGCUCGAAAGUGUGGGGAGCAAACAGGAUUAGAUACCCUUGUAGUC
rnacentral:rRNA from 1 species